GCCCGUGAUAGUCCGGGGCUCAACUCCGGAUCUGCGGUGGGUACGGGCAGACUAGAGUGAUGUAGGGGAGACUGGAAUUCCUGGUGUAGCGGUGAAAUGCGCAGAUAUCAGGAGGAACACCGAUGGCGAAGGCAGGUCUCUGGGCAUUAACUGACGCUGAGGAGCGAAAGCAUGGGGAGCGAACAGGAUUAGAUACCCUGGUAGUCCAUGCCGUAAACGUUGGGCACUAGGUGUGGGGGACAUUCCACGUUUUCCGCGCCGUAGCUAACGCAUUAAGUGCCCCGCCUGGGGAGUACGGCCGCAAGGCUAAAACUCAAAGGAAUUGACGGGGGCCCGCACAAGCGGCGGAGCAUGCGGAUUAAUUCGAUGCAACGCGAAGAACCUUACCAAGGCUUGACAUGGGCCGGACCGGGCUGGAAACAGUCCUUCCCUUUGGGCCGGUUCCAGGU
rnacentral:rRNA from 1 species